rnacentral:snRNA from 1 species
AAGCCAAUAUGAGGAAAGUU